CUUGUUUAAAUAUAAGAGGUCCAGCCUGCCCAGUGAUAAUUUAUUCAACGGCCGCGUAAUUUAAAGCGCGCAAAGGUAGCGUAAUCACUUGUUCUUUAAAUGAGGACUCGAAUCAACGGCACCACGAGGGCUAUACUGUCUCCUUCCCCCAAUCAGUGAAACUAAUCUCCCUGUGAAAAAGCAGGGAUAUCUCUAUAAGACGAGAAGACCCCAUGGAGCUUUAAACAUAACAACAUCUUUAAAAUUUUAUACACCCACCCUAUUAACAUGAAAGCAUUGUGCGUUAGUUUUAGGUUGGGGCGACCGCGGAGUAUAAGAAAACCUCCACAACGAAAGGGAAUAAACCCUUAUUUGAGAAAAACAUUUCUACAAAUUAUUAAUAUAACGUUUAAUGACCCGAUUAUCGAUUAACGAACCA
rnacentral:rRNA from 1 species